rnacentral:rRNA from 1 species
CCUACGGGAGGCAGCAGUGAGGAAUAUUGGUCAAUGGGCGGAAGCCUGAACCAGCCAAGUCGCGUGAGGGACUAAGGUCCUACGGGUCGUAAACCUCUUUUGCCGGGGAACAGAGCCCAGCUCGCGAGCUGGGAGGGAGCGUACCCGGAGAAAAAGCAGCGGCUAACACCGUGCCAGCAGCCGCGGUAAUACGGAGGAGGCGAGCGUUAUCGGGUUUUAUUGGGUUUAAAGGGUGCGUGGGCGGGCGUUCAGGCCGGCGGUAAAAUUGCGGGGCUCAACCCCGCCGAGCCGUCGGAACCGGGAGCCUUGAGUACCGGAGAAGUACGCGGAAUGCGUGGGGUAGCGGUGAAAUGCAUAGAUAUCACGCAGAACCCCGAUUGCGAAGGCAGCAUACCGGCCGGUCACUGACGCUGAGGCACGAAAGCGCGGGUAUCGAACAGGAUUAGAUACCCGGGUAGUC